GAUGAACGCUGGCGGCGUGCCUAAUACAUGCAAGUCGAGCGAACGGACGAGAAGCUUGCUUCUCUGAUGUUAGCGGCGGACGGGUGAGUAACACGUGGAUAACCUACCUAUAAGACUGGGAUAACUUCGGGAAACCGGAGCUAAUACCGGAUAAUAUUUUGAACCGCAUGGUUCAAAAGUGAAAGACGGUCUUGCUGUCACUUAUAGAUGGAUCCGCGCUGCAUUAGCUAGUUGGUAAGGUAACGGCUUACCAAGGCAACGAUGCAUAGCCGACCUGAGAGGGGGAUAGGCCACACGGGAACUGAGACACGGUCCAGACGCCUACGGGAGGCAGCAGAAGGGAAUCUUCCGCAAUGGGCGAAAGCCUGACGGAGCAACGCCGCGUGAGUGAUGAAGGUCUUCGGAUCGUAAAACUCUGUUAUGAGGGAAGAACAUAUGUGUAAGUAACUGUGCACAUCUUGACGGUACCUAAUCAGAAAGCCACGGCUAACUACGUG
rnacentral:rRNA from 1 species